rnacentral:rRNA from 1 species
UAGGCGUAAAUGAUGCGAGUUAAGUGUGGGGGCAUCUACGAGAUGGCCCUGUGCUGUAGGGUAGCCGUUAAACUCGCUGCCUGGGGAGUACGGUCGCAAGGCUGAAACUUAAAGGAAUUGGCGGGGGAGCACAACAACGGGUGGAGCUUGCGGUUUAAUUGGAUUCAACGCCGGAAAUCUUACCGGGACCGACAGCAACAUGAAGGCCAGGUUGAUGACCUUGCUUGACAAGCUGAGAGGUGGUGCAUGGCGUAGUCGUGU